rnacentral:rRNA from 1 species
UAGAGUUUGAUCCUGGCUCAGAUUGAACGCUGGCGGCAUGCCUUACACAUGCAAGUCGGACGGCAGCGCGGGAGCAAUCCUGGCGGCGAGUGGCGAACGGGUGAGUAAUACAUCGGAACAUGUCCAGUAGUGGGGGAUAGCCCGGCGAAAGCCGGAUUAAUACCGCAUACGAUCUAUGGAUGAAAGCGGGGGAUCGCAAGACCUCGCGCUAUUGGGGUGGCCGAUGGCGGAUUAGCUAGUUGGUGGGGUAAAGGCCUACCAAGGCGACAAUCCGUAGCUGGUCUGAGAGGACGACCAGCCACACUGGGACUGAGACACGGCCCAGACUCCUACGGGAGGCAGCAGUGGGGAAUUUUGGACAAUGGGGGCAACCCUGAUCCAGCAAUGCCGCGUGUGUGAAGAAGGCCUUCGGGUUGUAAAGCACUUUUGUCCGGGAAGAAAUCCCCUGCCCUAAUACGGCGGGGGGAUGACGGUACCGGAAGAAUAAGCACCGGCUAACUACGUGCCAGCAGCCGCGGUAA